rnacentral:rRNA from 1 species
CCUACGCGAGGCAGCAGUGAGGAAUAUUGGUCAAUGGGCGCAAGCCUGAACCAGCCAAGUAGCGUGCGGGAUGACGGCCCUACGGGUCGUAAACCGCUUUUGCACGGGGAUAAAACCAUCCACUUGUGCAGUUCUGAAUGUACCGUGCGAAUAAGGGCCGGCUAAUUCCGUGCCAGCAGCCGCGGUAAUACGGAAGGCCCGAGCGUUAUCCGGAUUCAUUGGGAUUAAAGGUAGCGUAGGCGGGCGUUCAAGUCAGCUUUAAAAUCGCGCGGCGCAACCGCACCCCGCAGUUGAAACUGGAAGACUUGAGUUCACAACAGGCAGGCGGAAUUCGGGGUGUAGCGGUGAAA